rnacentral:lncRNA from 1 species
CUUUUGUAGUAACUGUUGUUGUAGAAACUGUGAAGAAAAGUCUUUUUUUUUUCAUUGUUGAAAUAUUGAGAAGGUGAGAAGCAGGGAAGAAAUUCCAGCUGUGAAAUGAGAAAAGGACACAGUUCCAGAGAGAUGAGGGGGACAGUGUGGUUCUGAACCCACCAACACCAACAACAGUAUCCUAGGAUAUCACCCCAUUUUCUAUCUAUUUUCACAAAAAUUAAAUCCUACAUUUCUUCCAUGGCUUGUCAGGUUCCACAACAUCAUCAAUAUAAUAAAAUUCAUAAGAUGCCAAUUUACAAACACUAUCUUUCUGCCAGAUUUUCAUUUUUAUCAAUGAAUUAGAUUUACAUUGGAUUCACACAUCAUUACCCCAUUGGAUUUACAUUUCAAAGUGGAAAUGAAAAAGUCGCAUGAAAACGAAAAAAAAUUCCAACUUCACAUUUGCAAGAGACAAAUUCACUAAAGAGGUACCAUCAAGCUAGUAGCCAUUUUUCAAUUAAGCUGACACAUGUAUUAAAAAUAUGGAGCUAUAGCUAGCAUGUUCAAUUAAGCUGACAGUAAUAUUAUUCAUAUAUCACUCAUAUUUUAUAUUUUUGUAAGGAAGAAGGAUAGAGAAAAAAAAAACACAUUCUUCCUUUCUAUUUUCUCUGUCAUGAACAUUAUUCUGUGUGUGAUAAUAAGCAUAAAAGUGAGGAAACUGAAACUCACUCUGCCAUGCCACCAAUUGAAACUCACUCUACCAUGCCACCGCUCUCUCAAAUUCCACCUUCUUCUUUUCUUCACCCUUUAACCAUUGCAAAAUGCUGGUUUUCCAAAGAAGUUCUGAUUCACAAAAUGAUUCAGAUUAGUGCAUAACAUACAAUAACCGCCUUACACACUAUAUUGAUAGCUUAUAUUAAAAGAGUAGGGAUAUGAAUUUGUCUCACUUGUGGCCAAUCAAUUAAUCUGUCAUUACCAUGACAUUCCUUAAGCACCAGAAUACACUUGAUGGACCUUCACUAGGAGCACCAUCCAGCAGCCACCUGUAACAGAGCCGCAUGUAAAGCAUAAAGUUAAAAAUGAUAUAAGGCAUGAAGUUACACCGCAUGUAACAGAACCGAUCCUAGUCACCUGCUGGCCACCCAAGAACCAAACCUUAGCUCCAUCCAAAUGGCUCAAAAGAGCACAUCAUCAGCCUCAACCACUUAGCUUGGUUACCACAUAACAGAAUUGCUUCCUACACUUGGCUAGGCAACUAAUAGAUUACCACAGGGACGCUGCUCUAGAAUCAGAAAAAAGAUCCUCCCUAUGGUACAUGCAUUAUCAUGUACCAUCUGAAACACUAGGACAUGUGGUAGCACCACUCCUCAACCAUUACGUACCUUAUCAUGCCACGCGACUUCUUAAAUCCAAAAUUAUAUCCAAGGACUACGAUUGUAUGUAAAUACAAUUUAGUCAAAACUUUCUAGUGGUUGUGAAGGAGGAUAAUGAAUACAACGCUUCUCUUUUGACCAAUCAUUCUUUAUCAUAUAAAGUGGUAAGCACAAAUCAAAAUGACAGUAACCAAAGUAACAGUUUUAAAAAUCACUUCUUACAAUAAUUAAGAAAUAAUCUUUAUAUCUUUUUGUUGGUUAGUAAUAUAACAUUUUACAAUGAUAAUGGAUGUUUAUCAAAGUUACCUAAUCGUGGAACUUAUCAUCAGUACCAUUCAAGGGGAAGUUAAUUUAUGUUUAACCACUUGACCGAUGCAUGAACUACAAUAACAGCUGAGAGAAAAUACUUAAGGGCUGGAGCUGUAGCAAGUAAUGGAAAAGGUCGGCAUCCAGAACCAGAACUGUAAAUUGAAUAAAAAAAUGUCAAUGACUUGUUCAAAAAACGAGGUUUCGAUGAAGAGUUUCUUGGCUCCAGGCCCCGUAAACCCCACAUUGGACUCAACUCCAUGCCUUUCAAUUGAAUCCGAACAGAGUACAUGCACAAAUUCCACAGAAUCUUUUGUUUAACAAUAUCUUUUGUGGCUCAUAGAUGAAAGAAGAUCCGGUAGCAUACAUUUAAGGUUUUCAUAGCACGGGGAAGUAAAAUUAACAAAGUUGUAUUGUCAAGGGACUACCUGAAUCAGUGAUUUGUUUUCGAAUGCUGCUUAAUCCACUUAGAAGCUAGUUGAUGCAAGUUCUUCUCUGACCCUAAACUUCUUCUCUCGGCAACAAAUUCCUACUAUCACGUUAGGGUUUCGUGAAAGGACAAAGGUGUUAGGGUUUCAUGUAAGUGUGAAGCUAGAUGGAAGUGUUUCAUUUCGUGUGAAGCAGAGAAAGAAAUGUUAGGUUUCGUUUUGUGUGAAGAGGCUUAGGGGUCUGGUGCAGAGAGAGAGAAGAAACGUUAGGGUGUGGAGCAGAGAGAGGGAAGAGGUGUUAGGGCUUGG